AUAUCAAGUAUUUUUAAAGAAAUUAAGUUUUUCAAUUCAUGUGACAUUGUAUUUAAUUUUGUGUUAUAUUUUAAAUUCAAGUUUAUUACAGAUUUAAGAUUUUUAAUGGCUUUUGGUAAUACUUUGAAUUUAUUAAACCUAAGUAAAUCUAGUCUCAAUAAUAUAUUGAUUUUAAAUAGUAUUAUUGGUAGUAUUUUAUCUAAUCUAAUUCCUUCUAGAAUCAAUAUUGUUAGUUAUUCAAAUACUUUUUAAAAAUAUUAAUUAGAUAUUAUAGAAGGUAGCUUGAAUUUAUUAUAAAUACCAUAAUAAAAGGAAUUUCUAAAUAACAAAAAAUUUAAGUUUUUUGUAUUAUUUACUCAAUACAUAUAUCUUCACUUGACUUCUAUCAAGGUUACAUAUAAGUAUUUGUAAGGAAUAAAAAUGUAAUCCUUUGAUGAUGAACCUUUAUAGAAUAUUCUUUAUAUUAUUAUCAAAUAUAUAAUCUUUCAAUUAAUCAAAAACAUAACAAAAUAAUACUUAAAAAAUAUAAUCCAUAUUAUUAUCAAAUACUUAAAACAUAGACAAAUUUCAAAGUAUUUUACAUUGUAACAAACAAAAAUAUAAAAUUAUUUAUUAGAGAUAUUAAAAUAUCUUACAAUUUAUUUUAUGUAUUUAUUUUGUGCAUUUAUUUUAUAUCAAUAAUUUUAUUUAAAUUAUUCUAUCACUAUUUGAAAGUAUUACCUUUAUUGUUAAUUCAUAUAUUGGUGCCAAAUUUACAUUCCAAAUUUGUGUGUCAUUAUAUUCUUUUUCUUUUUCAAUAAUGCUCUGAUUUAUAUCUUAUAAUUAAUCAUGUACUUUUAUUAUUCUAUUUUUUUCUAUUUUAUCCAUUUUUAUCAUUGAUUAUAAAUCAAUAUAUCUAAAACAAUACUUGCAUCUUAUUUUUUACCUCUGUUUUUUUAAUUGGUCCUUAUUUGUAAUAUAUUUUCUUUCAUUGUACCACGCCAAAUCAUAUUAUUACAAAAAAAAAAAAAAAAAAAAAAAUGUGUGUAUACAAAUAUACACUUUGCUUCAACUUUUAAGACAUCAAAACUCAUCUUCAAAAUAAUCCAUAGCUUAUGAUUACUAUCUUCUUCAUCUUCAUCUAAAUCUCUU
rnacentral:lncRNA from 1 species